rfam:Corchorus olitorius cultivar O-4 contig22818, whole genome shotgun sequence.
GUGUUCGUAGAAAGGAGAGAUGGUUGGCAUCUCCCCUGAUAGCGACGGGAACAGCAUUCGGCCAGCACAUCCCGGGGCAUAUCAUAUCAGUAUUCUUCAGUGCAACCACUUAUGUUGUCUAUUUUUU